rnacentral:rRNA from 1 species
GACGUAGGAGGCGAGCGUUAUCCGGAUUCACUGGGCGUAGAGCGCAUGUAGGCGGUUGUGUAAGUCCGAUGUUAAAGCCCCUGGCUCAACUGGGGGAGGUCAUUGGAGACUACUCGACUUGAGGGCAACAGAGGCACGUGGAACUCCCGGUGUAGCGGUGGAAUGCGUAGAGAUCGGGAAGAACACCAGUGGCGAAGGCGACGUGCUGGGUUGCAACUGACGCUGAGAUGCGAAAGUGUGGGGAGCAAACGGG